AGAGUUUGAUCCUGGCUCAGAUUGAACGCUGGCGGCAGGCCUAACACAUGCAAGUCGAGCGGUAGCACAGGAGAGCUUGCUCUCUGGGUGACGAGCGGCGGACGGGUGAGUAAUGUCUGGGAAACUGCCUGAUGGAGGGGGAUAACUACUGGAAACGGUAGCUAAUACCGCAUAACGUCUUCGGACCAAAGUGGGGGACCUUCGGGCCUCACGCCAUCAGAUGUGCCCAGAUGGGAUUAGCUAGUAGGUGGGGUAAUGGCUCACCUAGGCGACGAUCCCUAGCUGGUCUGAGAGGAUGACCAGCCACACUGGAACUGAGACACGGUCCAGACUCCUACGGGAGGCAGCAGUGGGGAAUAUUGCACAAUGGGCGCAAGCCUGAUGCAGCCAUGCCGCGUGUGUGAAGAAGGCCUUCGGGUUGUAAAGCACUUUCAGCGAGGAGGAAGGGCAGUGUGUUAAUAGCACAUUGCAUUGACGUUACUCGCAGAAGAAGCACCGGCUAACUCCGUGCCAGCAGCCGCGGUAAUACGGAGGGUGCAAGCGUUAAUCGGAAUUACUGGGCGUAAAGCGCACGCAGGCGGUUUGUUAAGUCAGAUGUGAAAUCCCCGCGCUUAACGUGGGAACUGCAUUUGAAACUGGCAAGCUAGAGUCUUGUAGAGGGGGGUAGAAUUCCAGGUGUAGCGGUGAAAUGCGUAGAGAUCUGGAGGAAUACCGGUGGCGAAGGCGGCCCCCUGGACAAAGACUGACGCUCAGGUGCGAAAGCGUGGGGAGCAAACAGGAUUAGAUACCCCGGUAGU
rnacentral:rRNA from 1 species